CGUAACACGUGAGCAACCUACCGAUUUGUGGGGGGAUAGCCGGCCCAACGGCCGGGUAAUACCGCAUACGCUUCUCGAGCGACAUCGCUUGGGAAGGAAACCUCCGGGGCAAAUCGAGGGGCUCGCGGCCUAUCAGCUAGUUGGCGAGGUCAUGGCUCACCAAGGCGACGACGGGUAGCUGGUCUGAGAGGAUGGCCAGCCACAUUGGGACUGAGAAACGGCCCAG
rnacentral:rRNA from 1 species